rnacentral:RNase_P_RNA from 1 species
GGAGCAGGCCGGGCGACCGCCGAAGACCACACGUCUUCGGAGGAAAGUCCGGACACCAAAGGGCAGGGCGCUGGGUAACUCCCAGUGGGGGCGACCCCAAGGAAAGUGCCACAGAAACAUACCGCCCUGCACCACGCGCUAUGCUUGGGUGCAGGGUAAGGGUGCAAUCGUGCGGUAAGAGCGCACGAGGCUCCGGGUGACCGGAGACCUGGGAAAACCCCGCCCGGUGCAAGGCCACA